GAACUCGGCAGCCACUGUUUAUCAUUUUCGGGAAGUUAAUGCUCCACGGUCUAUCGCAAACACCCAACUCUACUGGUGAAGUGCACCGACACAGGUUGUUUUAGCUUUUAAUUCUUGCAGAUUGAUCGAUAUGAAUUUGAGUCUGCAAAACUUCCGUUCCUGAAACAGUAACAUAUUACAAUUUUUAAGUCAAGGACCCUUGAUCCUUUCUAUUUGUAUUUUUCUUUCUUUCUUUUUGGUUUUGUUGUAUUGUCGUGAUACAGUCUUGCAUAUGUGAAUAUUGACGUUGUGAGAAAUUU
rnacentral:lncRNA from 1 species